CCUACGGGAGGCAGCAGUGGGGAAUAUUGCACAAUGGGCGCAAGCCUGAUGCAGCCAUGCCGCGUGUAUGAAGAAGGCCUUCGGGUUGUAAAGUACUUUCAGCGAGGAGGAAGGUGUUGAGGUUAAUAACCUCAGCAAUUGACGUUACUCGCAGAAGAAGCACCGGCUAACUCCGUGCCAGCAGCCGCGGUAAU
rnacentral:rRNA from 1 species